GCAUAUCAAUAAGCGGAGGAAAAGAAAUCCAACCGGGAUUGCCCUAGUAACGGCGAGUGAAGCGGCAACAGCUCAAAUUUGAAAUCUGGCCCUCGUGGUCCGAGUUGUAAUUUGUAGAGGAUGCUUUUGGUACGGUACCUUCCGAGUUCCCUGGAACGGGACGCCAUAGAGGGUGAGAGCCCCGUCUGGUCGGAUACCAAUCCUCUGUAAAGCUCCUUCGACGAGUCGAGUAGUUUGGGAAUGCUGCUCAAAAUGGGAGGUAUAUGUCUUCUAAAGCUAAAUAUUGGCCAGAGACCGAUAGCGCACAAGUAGAGUGAUCGAAAGAUGAAAAGCACUUUGAAAAGAGGGUUAAAUAGUACGUGAAAUUGUUGAAAGGGAAGCGUUUGUGACCAGACUUGGGCCCGGUUAAUCAUCCGGCGUUCUCGCCGGUGCACUUUGCCGGCCCAGGCCAGCAUCAGUUCGCUGCGGGGGAAAAAGGCAGCGGGAAUGUGGCUCCUCGGAGUGUUAUAGCCCGCUGUGCAAUACCCUGUGGUGGACUGAGGUUCGCGCAUCUGCAAGGAUGCUGGCGUAAUGGUCAUCAACGACCCGUCUUGAAACACGGACCAAGGAGUCGUCUUCGUAUGCGAGUGUUCGGGUGUCAAACCCCUACGCGUAAUGAAAGUGAACGGAGGUGGGAGCCUCGGCGCACCAUCGACCGAUCCUGAUGUUUUCGGAUGGAUUUGAGUAAGAGCAUACGGGGCCGGACCCGAAAGAAGGUGAACUAUGCCUGUAUAGGGUGAAGCCAGAGGAAACUCUGGUGGAGGCUCGCAGCGGUUCUGACGUGCAAAUCGAUCGUCAAAUAUGGGCAUGGGGGCGAAAGACUAAUCGAACCUUCUAGUAGCUGGUUUCCGCCGAAGU
rnacentral:rRNA from 1 species